GUGGUAAACAGAAACUGUACAAAGCCGGUGGAACCGUCAGGAAAUUUAAGGGAGAAUCUCUGGGAACGUGGACUCAAUAUCGGAAACAUCGAUCCAUUAUCAGUUGUGCAGUUAUUUUUGCAGUUGUAACAUUUUCAGAACUUUUUAUAUAAUUCUAACCAUUCUACCAACAUAUCUUUCUAUUAGGAUUUCAAAGUAUAACGGAAUUUCCUAUUUGUGGAGCACUUCAUUUCCUCUCUAAAUUCUCAAAGUAGUCUGCUUUACAUGCCAAACAUGAACUUUUUCUGUUAGUAAUUUCUAAAUUCCCAUUGAAGUGGACUACGCAUCCAAGAUGUUUGAUGAUAUGCAAAACUUGAACUUCUUUUGUUGGUAAUUUCUUGGGUGUUAGUUUUCGAUUGUUUUGAAUAAUUUCUUGAGUGAACGUACCUAAUUGCAAGGUAUCAAAAUUGCUGCUGUAAGAUUAGGUCUCUUAAUUUGUGCUCUAUUGUUAUUUGUUCCUGUAAGAAUAACUUUAUCAGUAGAUCCAGUUCCAAAAAGGAAGAGACAAACAAGGAAAGAUGAGGAUGGAUGAUCUGCACAACUGCUUGUGUGACAAUCUCUUAUAUUCAGAAGAGAAAGCGGAAGAUGAACGAAAAUGCACCUAUUUUUUCAGUCAAGUUCUCUACUUUCUCUCCCUCUUUCUUUUAAUCGUGUGUUUAUUGAGUAGUCUUUAUGAUAAUCAUUAAAGUGGACUAUGCACCCAAGAUGUUUGAUGAUAUGCCUGACUCAUUCACCGAAUGAUAUUUGAAUAAGUACAUAAUGUAAAACAUGUUUUAAAUAGAGUUCUUCUCGCGAAUGCAUAUCUUAAAACUGAUCUUGAACUUUAAAAUUGUAUUUUGACUCAUAGUGCAGUUCACUAUGAUUAUUGCAAGUAAUAAUUCAUUUCUUUGACACGUCUAGCUUUUCUCUUAUUUUUUUGUAAUAUGACAAAAAUUAAUCAGCAAUUAGGCCAAGCUAAUCUCUAAUAUUUCAAAUUUGGUUCUUCUUUGACAUAGAGUAAAAACUAAAAAAAAAUAGAGAAAUGGACUUCGACGCUGCCAUAACGGAUGCUUUUCCAUGAAGAAGUAAACUAAAGGCCUAUUGCGUACAAAGUUCAGUUGAAACCUAAUCAAUUGAAAGAAAAUUACUAUGCCAUGGAAAUAAGAUUUGAAUCAAAUGUGAUAUGUGAAUAUAUUGAUAGGAAGCUGAGUUUUAGUGGCUGUCAGCUAUAAGAUGGGAAUAUUAUUUACUUUCACAAAUCUCUUUGAAAGCAAGGCAAUAAACAAUAUCGCUUUCUAGAGGUUCCCUCAAUUUUGGAGUACGUCCACAAGAAUCAUCGAGUUUGUGAUGCAUCCCCUUAUUGUGAUAUUAGUCCCUAGAGUAUUAAAUACUGUAUUUAUUUGAAGAAAGGGUUCCUAACGAAACAGUAGCAAUUACGUAUACCAUAGAAAAUGUUAGUCUGUAAGAAUAUCACAAUAAGAAUAUAAAAUCUGCAAUAUGUCACACAUGAUUCA